GUUUUAAAUAGUUUAGGUGAGCAAGUUACACCUGUUAACACUACAACAGUUGUUUAGGCAAUGGGUCAACAGCCUUAGUCUGUGACUGCUACAGCCCAGGGAAACACAGACUCAAGACAGAAAUAAACACUUGAGUGAAGACUACAAGGAUGUUUCCUGGUCUCCUUCAGUGUAGAGGAAUUAGCAAGGGUAAAAUGCAAACAGCUAGGGAACAAGCUUUAGAAUAAUUAACAGCAGGUGGAGAAUAGGCCAAUCCAGAGCAGAGGGUUAGAGGCAGUUUGCUAAACAGCAGUUCCAGUUUGACAGAACAAACUUCAACUAUCCUGUUGUGUCUAUGGGUAUUGUAACAACUAUCCUGUUGUGUCUAUGGGUAUUGUAACAACUAUCAUGUUGUGUAUAUGGCUAUUGUAA